UAUGAUAAAUGGUUCCCUCAGUUGUAUUCUUUUGCAUAAUGCAACUCAUUAUAAUAUUACUUAAUCACAUACUUUAGGCACAAAGUAUCAAGAAUUAAUAUGUUAUCAGCAUCGUGGAAGCUCACAAACAACAAAGUAAAAGAACACCAGCAAUACGCUAAGUCUUAUAUGCGGAUUGAUAACACCUUUAGUUAACGGUACUGCCAAUCCACAUAUAAUAUUAAGUGAAAGUAUUGGGUCAGACCGUCUGACCCAAUACAUAUUGUCAGACGGGCUGCCCAGUACGGUACAAUUUUAAGAGAUGUGUGCAGCGAAGCAGAGGUGAGGGGAGGAGAGAGAAAAUGAUGUUAUAACCCAUCAUUUGUAGUUCUUGCGUUGUCUCCCACAUCCUCUUGACAUCAAUGCCGAAACCAUUGAUUUGAACACUUUAUAUUUGAUCAACUGUUUCUUCAAACAUUCGAUCCCACGCAUUGAUCAAGCUUCGUUUUGCUGCCUCGUAUGUUCUUCAGAAGACGAGAUAUUAUGAUCUGUGAGUGUGAGUGGGUAAGUCAGUUUCUUCGUCUUCGAAGCGAUCUUCCAUGGCGGAAAUUGAAGGUUGAAAUUGGAAGUUUGAAGGAGGAGAAAGAAAGUUCGUGGGAGAGGACAUGAGUUUGGAGUAUAGUUAUUUGCUGGCAGAAGAGGAAUGAAGAAGAAGGAAAAAGUGAGAGAAAGCAGAGGUUAGUGUUUUGUUUUCUUUUCAGUUGGACUUUGUUUUCUUUCAGUUGACUUUGUUUUUUUUCAGUUGGACUUUGUUUUCUUUCCGUUGGACUUUGUUUUCUUUCAGUUGGACUUUGUUUUGUUUCAGUUGGACUAACUGAAACAAAAUGAAGACUACCUGAAAAAAAAUGAAGACUACCUGAAAAAGAAUAAAGACCAACUGAAACCCAAGUAAGUCUAACUGAAGCACAAAAACCAACUGAAAAAAAAAAAGACUAACUGAAAAAAAAAGACUAACUGAAACAAAAUGAAGACUACCUGAAAAAAAAUGAAGACUACCUGAAAAAGAAUAAAGACCAACUGAAACCCAAGUAAGUCUAACUGAAGCACAAAAACCAACUGAAAAACAAAGAAGACUAACUGAAAACAAAAUGAAGACUACCUGAAAAAAAAUGAAGACUACCUGAAAGAAAAUUAAGACUAACUGAAAAUAAAUUGGAACCACCUGAAAGUCGUCCGACCAAGAUUAUGGUCGGACGAGUCCGACACAAUACGUUCUCUAAUAUUAAUUAUUGUAUUUUUGAGGUUAGUAAUUGAUAUGCAAGGCCUUACUUAUAAUUGUUAAGGUUACUUAUUGAUAUAAUUGAGUUAUUUAUAUGAAUUUAAGGGAUUACAAAUUACUUAUUUCUUAAUAUACUUAAUUUGUCAUUCAGACGCGCAACCAAAUUAUUAUUAUAUCAUACAACUAACCGCAUUAAAAACUUACUAAAUCAUAAAUAUAAAUUUUCAAUAAAGAUAAGGAAUUCACAAUUGUUUGACCAACAAAGAGAAUGAUAUCCUUAUAAAUCAUUUAUUAACAUUUCAAUCUUCGUCGGUGAUAACCCCCCAUCAAACUUAUUUGUUGCAUUAUAAGCUACUCCCUCCGUCUUUUUUUAUUUGCUACAUUUUGCCAUUUAGGGGUGUUUCAAUUUAUUUGCUACAUUUGCAAAUAUUUCCAUAUAUAGUACAUAGGUCCCACACUUUAUUUACAAAUUUGCCAUCACUCCCUUCUUGAUUUUGUAAAUGUUUCCAUAUAUAAUACAUAGGUCCCACAAUUUACCUAUUUGCUUUUUUGUUAAUUCCAUUUAUGUCAAUGGUCCCCACUCCCUCCUUGGUCUUUGUGAAAAAGUGCUUGUAGCAAAUAAAAAAAGACGGAGGGAGUAUAAAACAUCUAUGAAACACUUGAACAAUAUACAAAUUUUGAAUAGUUUGAGCUGCGAUUUUCACCCAUCAAUAUGAAUGGUGAAUAAUGGAAAUUUGCUACUAAUUAGAAAGUAGUCAAACUCUUACCAUAGUAGCAAUGGAGCUACAAUCCAUUUGAAAUUUAUAGUUAACACCUCGUCAACCCUCAUGAAAUUGAUCACCAGAUGUUCUUUGACAUCAUAUGACACUAAAUUGGGCACAAGCUUAUGCUAAGAUAACCUAGUAUUUCGCAUCGUGGUUUAGCACAAGUUUUAGAAGAAAUAUGCAAAGUCGUGAUUAAUUAAGGGGCCGGACCGCCGGAGGAGGGCCAUACCCUCCCCUUUGUAUGACCAAAAAAAUAGAAAAGAUAAAGACAGUUUUUAUAAACGACAAUAUAUAAGAAUAAUAGAUUACUCCGUAGAAAUAAUAUAGAAACCACAUGCUAAGAAAUAUGAUAUCAUGUAAAUCAAACAUCUUCUAUAGUGAAUAUAGCGAGUAAAAGAAGAUGGAAGGAGUGUAUCAAAGUCAAACUUUUAAAUUAUAUUGGGGUCACAGCAUAUUCCAGAUUCAGUAUAUAUAGGAAUCCCAUGAGAAAAAGGAAUCCAAAGAACAUGCAUAACAGUAAAACCCACAAAAUAAUUGACAUGCAAAAAUAUCUUAGUCCAACACUUUUAGACACUGAAAUGAGGUGACAUGAAUAGAUUUUAUUUACAGUGUCCUUUCCCCUUAGAGGAAAGGAAAAGAUGCAGACAGAAUUUACAUAAUAUUUACUGCUAUGAGACUUUACAAGGUUGGAUGUGGACUGAAGAGAAAAAAGCUUUUGUGGCUGAACCAAAGAUAAUCAAUCAGAAGAUCAGUUAAAAAGCUUUUCUACAAAGAAGCUUACUUUUUUAGUCAAACCUAAUAGAAUUGUGUGCCCAAACAAAGCCUAGAGAAACAUAUACAGUGGGCAAUGCCUACUACUUCACCAACAAGAUGCUCAAGAAUAUGACUUAAUGAGCCCUAAGUUGUAGAGGAACUUUUCUGAUCUUGAUUUGAAGAGAUUUCCUAGGGAAAACCUUCCACUUUCUUGAGGAGGGGAUUUUGAGUACUCAUCUUCUUUUACCCGGAGAAUCGUCUGACCAAUCUCUUUUCGAACUGCUUCAAUUGUUUGGCU